GAAAUAUUGGUUAUUCUGUCUGAUAUUACAUGAAGGUCAGAUGCCCUCCAUGCAACCAUGAGGUCGGAUGGCAGUUUGAUGCUGAACCAGCAAACAAGGCUACUCAGCAUGAAACUAUGAGUAUAAAAACCUUUAUGAUGACCUACCUCCACUUGGAUCAAUGAAGAGGCUCUAUCUGGAAGGCUUAUCCCUGUUCCAUGUUGCAUUGGAGGAUUCACUUCAGGAUGACUCACUCACAUCUGGCCAGAACUCAGGACAACUUCUAUCAAUAAAAGAAGCUGCUCAUCUGAAAGACAGCAGCACAUCCAUGUGCCAGGCAUGCUCUUCUUUCAGUCCAUAGUUAAGUUGAGGUGUACAUAUAUGAACCUGUGUACUUGUGUUAUACUCACCAGAACUCCACAGCAUCACAAGCUGGGACAACAUCCUCACACUGUGGAGCAAGAAGACAACUUAAUUAAGAGACAGCAUUUAAUGACAAGGAAAGAAAAUGUUCCUUAUCUUGUAAAUUCCUUCGCUAAUGGAAUCUUCCAGCCCACCCUGGGAAGAAGAGUUGUGGACAUAGACACAUACAGAGAGAAGACCAUGUGAAGUCACAGGGAGAAGACAGCCACCUACAUACCAAGGAGAGAGGCUGUACAAGAAACCAACCCUGAUGACACCUUGAUCUUGGACUUCCAGCUUCCAGAUUUACAGGAAAAUAAAUUUCCGUUGUUUAAGCCACAC
rnacentral:lncRNA from 10 species